CCCAGGGCGUUGCCCUGGGCUAUCGUAUUGCGCCCCUUUGGGGCU
rnacentral:sRNA from 1 species